GUUGUUUACUAAUAUAAGUUUGCUUACUUAACGGUGGUUAUAAGGCUAAACGUUGGCCGUUAAGGUUAUAAGGUUAUAAGGUUAUUAGGUUAAACGAUGGUUGUUAAGGUUAUAAGGUUGUGUACUAAUAUAAGGUUAUAAGGUUAAACGGUGGCCGUUAAGGUUAUAAGGAUGUUUACUAAUAUAAGGUUAUAAGGUUAAACGGUGGUCAUUAAGGUUAUAAGGUUGUUUACUAAUAUAAGGUUGUUUACUUAACGUUAGUUAUAAGGU
rnacentral:lncRNA from 1 species